GCUUUUCUUUCUUCUAUUCUUGGAAAUUUCCUCUGUCUUCGCUGAGUGGUCAGCUCCACGCUGCUGUCAAAACAAGACAUGAUGACAGAUGCUGCCUGAGGCGGAUUGGGAGAGCCAGGGCCAGUACAGCUGAAAGCAGGGUUUAUAUUUUCAUCCAGAAACCUGCAUUAGGGAAAGAGGGAUGCGACUGUCUUCAUCUUUGCACCAUCUUAUCCAUCCUUUUCUGUCUCUGGCUAUUGCAGUGUUGAUUUGAAGAAGGGAAACGGAAAGAUUCCUCAACCAUAAAGUGGACAUGGGAACUACUUUCACAAAGUUGUUGGAAGAAUUAAAUAAAAUGCCUAUUAUUGUUUA
rnacentral:lncRNA from 10 species